rnacentral:rRNA from 1 species
AUUGAACGCUGGCGGCAGGCCUAACACAUGCAAGUCGAACGAGUGGCGGACGGGUGAGUAAUGUCUGGGAAACUGCCCGAUGGAGGGGGAUAACUACUGGAAACGGUAGCUAAUACCGCAUACCAUCGGAUGUGCCCAGAUGGGAUUAGCUAGUAGGUGGGGUAACGGCUCACCUAGGCGACGAUCCCUAGCUGGUCUGAGAGGAUGACCAGCAACAUGGGAACUGAGCACAGGUCCAUAUUCCGAGGGGAGGCAGCAGUGGGGAAUAUUGGCCAAUGGGGGAAAGCCUGAUCCAGCCAUGCCGCGUGUGUGAAGAAGGUCUUCGGAUUGUAAAGCACUUUAAGUUGGGAGGCGUUACCAACAGAAUAAGCACCGGCUAACUUCGUGCCAGCGGCCGCGGUAUUC